rnacentral:rRNA from 1 species
GAUGAACGCUGGCGGCGUGCUUAACACAUGCAAGUCGAACGGAAAGGCUCCUGCUUGCAGGGGUACUCGAGUGGCGAACGGGUGAGUAACACGUGGGUGAUCUGCCCUGCACUUCGGUAUAAGCCUUGGAAACUGGGUCUAAUACCGGAUAGGACGAUGUUUUGGAUGCCAUUGUUGAAAGUUUUUCGGUGUGUGAUGAGCUCGCGGCCUAUCAGCUUGUUGUUGGGGUAAUGGCCUACCAAGGCGUCGACGGGUAGCCGGCCUGAGAGGGUGUACGGCCACAUUGGGACUGAGAUACGGCACAGACUACUACGGGAGGCAGCAGUGGGGAAUAUUGCACAAGGGGCGCAAGCCUGAUGAAGAGACGCAGCGUGGGGGAUGACGGCCUUCGGGUUGUAAACUAAUUUCGCUAGGGAAGAAGCGAAAGUGACGGUACCUGGAGAAGAAGCACCGGCUAACUACGUG